rnacentral:lncRNA from 10 species
GGGCCCUGGGUAGGUUCCUGUGGUAUUAGGUGGACUGGAGAAAGAGGCCCGCGUGAAUUAAGUGUAGUUCUCUUAUGCACUGGCGGACUCUGGUCGCCCUUCCUUGUGAAGGCUGCCUGGGUAGCCGUAGAGGACGAGGCCACUCUAAAGCCUCGUUUUCCCAGCGGAAUUUUAACUAUUCUAAGGAUGUCCUUACAGCCAGUUCCCCACUCCGCUACUCAGAGUGUGUCAGACUUUACCCUGUCCAUUCAACUCCAGAAAAACCGGGAGGUCUAGAUUCGGAAGAUUAAAUUUACCUUUGAAUUAGGACAUGUAAAAUAGGAAGUUAAUAUUAGCAUCCUAAUGACAAAAGUUUUCUCGUUAUCAUACUUGACUCAAAUGGGAAUCUUACGGAUAUUAAUGUUUUUUCCAGAAACAGGUUUGAAAGGUAUUUCAAGGAUAAAUCUGGGGAAAGGGAUGGAAGCAACUGAUUUUUAAUUUUUAGAUAGUACUCUCAGAGCAUUUAUUUAGUCCAAAACUGUUAAUUUAAUGAAUUAGGCUAAACUAGACGCUGGGGUAACAAAGCUGAGUUAGAUACCCUCUCCUCUGAGGCAGCUAAAGAGAAGGAAAGUCUGGUGGCUGACAAGUAAACCAACAGUUAUGUUCUUCAGAGAGGAGAUCUCAGACUCUCUAAGCAAAAGAAACUAAUAGCUGUAUGACAACAGCCAAAGAGUAAAUAUCCUUUCAAGUCCAAUCCUGCCUAAGAUGUCAAAAUCAAGAAUGAAGAGGUUAUGUGCUGAAACAGAAUGACCUUCACAAGAUGCAGCCUCUGGAUCUUGGACUUCCCCAGCCUCCAGAACUCUGAGCAGAGCCCCAUAAAUGAGAAGCCACGAAGACUGAGGUUACACAGUGAUCCACAGUUGCCACAAAACUGAGCAGGCAUCAAGGUACAUCUUGGUGUUGAAUGAAGUUGUUCCAUAUGGGCUCAUUUCUCAGGUUGUUUGCAAAAAAGAAAUAAUGUAAUACAGUGCACCAACUGUAUUUCAAAGAUGCAGGCCA